rnacentral:rRNA from 1 species
UUGGAAACGACGUCUAAUACCGGAUACGAGCUAGGACCGCAUGGUCACUAGUUGGAAAGAAUUUCGGUCAAGGAUGGACUCGCGGCCUAUCAGCUAGUUGGUGAGGUAACGGCCCACCAAGGCGACGACGGGUAGCCGGCCUGAGAGGGUGACCGGCCACACUGGGACUGAGACACGGCCCAGACUCCUACGGGAGGCAGCAGUGGGGAAUAUUGCACAAUGGGCGCAAGCCUGAUGCAGCAACGCCGCGUGAGGGACGACGGCCUUCGGGUUGUAAACCUCUUUUAGCAGGGAAGAAGCGAAAGUGACGGUACCUGCAGAAAAAGCACCGGCUAACUACGUGCCAGCAGCCGCGGUAAUACGUAGGGUGCAAGCGUUGUCCGGAAUUAUUGGGCGUAAAGAGCUCGUAGGCGGUUUGUCGCGUCUGCUGUGAAAAUCCGAGGCUCAACCUCGGACCUGCAGUGGGUACGGGCAAACUAGAGUGCGGUAGGGGAGAUUGGAAUUCCUGGUGUAGCGGUGGAAUGCGCAGAUAUCAGGAGGAACACCAAUGGCGAAGGCAGA